rnacentral:rRNA from 1 species
AUUGAACGCUGGCGGCAUGCCUUACACAUGCAAGUCGAACGGCAGCACGGGCUUCGGUCUGGUGGCGAGUGGCGAACGGGUGAGUAAUGUAUCGGAACGUACCUUUCAGUGGGGGAUAACGUAGCGAAAGUUACGCUAAUAACGCAUAUUAUGUGAGCAGGAAAGCAGGGGAUCGCAAGACCUUGCGCUGAUUGAGCGGCCGAUAUCAGAUUAGCUAGUUGGUGGGGUAAAGGCCUACCAAGGCGACGAUCUGUAGCGGGUCUGAGAGGAUGAUCCGCCACACUGGAACUGAGACACGGUCCAGACUCCUACGGGAGGCAGCAGUGGGGAAUUUUGGACAAUGGGGGCAACCCUGAUCCAGCCAUGCCGCGUGAGUGAAGAAGGCCUUCGGGUUGUAAAGCUCUUUCGGCCGGGAAGAAAUCGCAUGGGCUAAUACCCUGCGUGGAUGACGGUACCGGAAUAAGAAGCACCGGCUAACUACGUGCCAGCCGCCGCAGUAAGAC